GACGAACGCUGGCGGCAUGGAUUAGGCAUGCAAGUUGAACGAACACUUCGGUGUGAGUAGCGAAAGGGUGAGGAACACGUGAGUAAUCUGCCUCCAAGUUGGGAAUAACAGUUGGAAACGACUGCUAAUACCGAAUGUGGCUAAUUGAUCGCAUGAUUGAUUGGCUAAAGAUUUAUCGCUUGGAGAUGAGCUCGCGUCCCAUUAGGUAGUUGGUGAGGUAAUGGCUCACCAAGCCGAUGAUGGGUAGCUGGUCUGAGAGGAUGGUCAGCCACACUGGGACUGAGACACUGCCCAG
rnacentral:rRNA from 1 species